rnacentral:rRNA from 1 species
UACAGAGGUCCCAAGCGUUGUUCGGAUUCACUGGGCGUAAAGGGUGCGUAGGUGGUGAGGUAAGUCCGAUGUGAAAGCUCCGAGCUCAACUCGGAAAUUGCAUUAGAAACUAGCUUGCUAGAGGGUUGGAGGGGGGACUGGAAUUCUCGGUGUAGCAGUGAAAUGCGUAGAUAUCGAGAGGAACACCAGUGGCGAAGGCGAGUCCCUGGACAACUCCUGACACUGAGGCACGAAAGCUAGGGGAGCAAACAGG